rnacentral:tRNA from 1 species
UUGCUGGGAAGUAUAUUAUUAGUGCGUUAGGCUGUAAACCUAAAAGUGGGGAGACUCCCUCCAGCAAU